rfam:Phytophthora sojae unplaced genomic scaffold PHYSOscaffold_2, whole genome shotgun sequence.
GUUGAGGAGGUGAUGAUUCAAAUAUGCAUAGUUCAACUGAACAGCCCCCAAGGCUUCUGUUGAUAACAUUCCAUCAAAGUCUUUCGCUCCUAUCUGAUUCUCAAC